UACGUAGGGGGGCAAGCGUUUGUCCGGAUUUAUUGGGCGUAAAGAGCGUGUAGGCGGUUCGGUAGGUCCGUUGUGAAAACUCGAGCUCAACCUCGAGACGCCGAUGGAAACCCCCGAACUAGAGUCCGGAAGAGGAGAGUGGAAUUCCUGGUGUAGCGGUGAAAUGCGCAGAUAUCAGGAAGAACACCCGUGGCUAAGGCGGCUCUCUAGUACGGUACUGACGCUGAGACGCGAAAGCGUGGGGAGCGAACAGG
rnacentral:rRNA from 1 species